GCCAGCAUGGCAUAAUGGUUUGCGUCUUUGGCUAUAACUCUGGAGACCAGGGUUCGAGUCCCAGCUCAGCCA